rnacentral:pre_miRNA from 1 species
AGUGCAAUUGUAGGAUCAUAUGGAGAGAGAAUUUUUAGUUUUGCAAAAAACUGCCAAAUUGUUUCCCAAAUUGCUGUACCAUUUUGGACUCCCACCAGCCGU